AUUGAACGCUGGCGGCAUGCCUUACACAUGCAAGUCGAACGGCAGCACGGGGGCAACCCUGGUGGCGAGUGGCGAACGGGUGAGUAACGCAUCGGAAUGUACCCAGUAGUGGGGGAUAACUAGUCGAAAGACUGGCUAAUACCGCAUACGCACUACGGUGGAAAGCGGGGGAUCGCAAGACCUCGCGCUAUUGGAGCAGCCGAUGUCCGAUUAGGUAGUUGGUGGGGUAAAAGCCUACCAAGCCUGCGAUCGGUAGCUGGUCUGAGAGGACGACCAGCCACACUGGGACUGAGACACGGCCCAGACUCCUACGGGUGGCUG
rnacentral:rRNA from 1 species